CUUCACUGCCAUUGCUACACCAGUUCUCCGCUCCAAACACCCUGGCAGUCAUCAGCGCAUCUCAAGGCAAGCCAUCUCCUGCGGAAGCCCCAGGGCCUGAGGCAGAAUCUACUGGCGAGAAGUGAUCACAAAUCCAGCUCCUCCCGGGACCACACCAUUCCUAGAAUCUAACCUGGGAUUGUUGGCUCCAGUUAACUAAGGCAACCAGGCAUCAAGGACAGACCAACAGAAAACUUCACUCAAUACUGUGUUCCAUCUUCCAGAUAAGUCACCAGAGGCCACAAACUCUAGAAGUGUCAUUAAAUUUAGUCCAUUUGAUCAUUGUCUGCUAAAAAUAUGUAGAAAUCAGAAUUGUUGAUCAAAAUACAAGUUGGAACAUGAUGGGGUACUACAUGCUCCUAAGUGAAGUGGUGAAAUAUUUAUUAAGCACUGGAUUGGGAUGUUUCAUUCAUUAAGUCGUCCAAUCUCAUAAGGACUGCAUAAAGUAGAUAUUUAGAUGUCGUUUUUCAAGUAAGAAAACAGAAGCUUAGCAAGUGUAAAUAAUUUUUCUGAGGCCACCCGCUUACUGAAUGACUGCAUCAAGAUUUGAACUCAGAACCAGGCACAGUGGCUCACACCUAUAAUCCUAACACUUUGGGAGGGCAAGGCAGGAGGAUCACUUGAGGCCAGGAGUUUGAGACCAGCCUAGGCAACAUAGUGAGACCCGUAUCUCUACAAAAAAAUUAAAAAUUAGCUUAGUGUGAUGCACCUGUAGUCCCAGUUACUCAGAAGGCUGAAGCAGGAGGAUGGCUUGAGCCCAAGAGUUCAAGGCUACAGUGAGCUGUAAUCACACCACUACACUCCAGCCUAGGCUACAGAGCAAGACCCUGUCUCUAUAAAGAAAAAAAAAGAUUUGAACUCAGGUCCUUCUUCUUCAAAGCCUCCCAUCUUUUCACGUACUAUGAGGCCCACACUCCUCCCACCAACAGAGGUUGCUAAGAUUAGUGAGCCACAGCCGAGGAGUCAGCACUUCUGAGAAAGCCGAGGGCAGAGGCAUUGCU
rnacentral:lncRNA from 1 species